rnacentral:rRNA from 1 species
CGAAGCGGAUCUCUUAAAGCUGUUCUCAGUUCGGACUGCAGUCUGCAACUCGACUGCACGAAGCUGGAAUCGCUAGUAAUCGCGGAUCAGCACGCCGCGGUGAAUACGUUCCCGGGCCUUGUACACACCGCCCGUCACACCAUGGAAGUCUGCAAUGCCCGAAGCCGGUGGCCUAACCACUUAUGUGGAAGGAGCCGUCUAAGGCAGGGCAGAUGACUGGGGUGAAGUCGUAACAAGGUAGC